rnacentral:rRNA from 1 species
GGUGAACGCUGGCGGCAGGCUUAACACAUGCAAGUCGAGCGGGGUGAUGGUGCUUGCACUAUCACUUAGCGGCGGACGGGUGAGUAAUGCUUAGGAAUCUGCCUAUUAGUGGGGGACAACAUCCCGAAAGGGAUGCUAAUACCGCAUACGUCCUACGGGAGAAAGCAGGGGAUCACUUGUGACCUUGCGCUAAUAGAUGAGCCUAAGUCGGAUUAGCUAGGUGGUGGGGUAAAGGCCUACCAAGGCGACGAUCUGUAGCGGGUCUGAGAGGCUGAUCCGCAACACGGGGACUGAGACACGGCCCAGACUCCUACGGGAGGCAGCAGUUGGGAAUAUUGGACAAUGGGGGGAACCCUGAUCCAGCCAUGCCGCGUGUGUGAAGAAGGCCUUAUGGUUGUAAAGCACUUUAAGCGAAGAGAGAGCUCUUUUGGUAAAUACCCAAGAUGAGUGGACGUUACUCGCAGAAUAAGCACCGGCUAACUCUGUGCCAGCAGCCGCCGUAA